GCCAGGCAUACUAGAGUGUGUCUGUAAUUCCAGAUACUUGGGAGGUUGAGCCAGGAGGAUCACUUGAACCCAGAAGUUCAAGACUGGUCUAGUUAACAUAAUGAGACCCCAUCUCCA
rnacentral:sRNA from 1 species